GGAUAACGUUUGGAAACGAACGCUAAUACCGCAUGAUAUUAUUGAGCUGCAUGGCUUGAUAAUCAAAGGAGCAAUCCGCUGAAAGAUGGGCUCGCGUCCGAUUAGGUAGUUGGCGGGGCAACGGCCCACCAAGCCGACGAUCGGUAGCCGGACUGAGAGGUUGAACGGCCACAUUGGGACUGAGACACGGCCCAGACUCCUACGGGAGGCAGCAGUGAGGGAUAUUGGUCAAUGGGGGAAACCCUGAACCAGCAACGCCGCGUGAGGGAAGACGGUUUUCGGAUUGUAAACCUCUGUCCUCUGUGAAGAUAAUGACGGUAGCAGAGGAGGAAGCUCCGGCUAACUACGUGCCAGCAGCCGCGGUAAUACGUAGGGAGCAAGCGUUGUCCGGAUUUACUGGGUGUAAAGGGUGCGUAGGCGGCUUUGCAAGUCAGAAGUGAAAUCCAUGGGCUUAACCCAUGAACUGCUUUUGAAACUGCAGAGCUUGAGUGGAGUAGAGGUAGGCGGAAUUCCCGGUGUAGCGGUGGAAUGCGUAGAGAUCGGGAAGAACACCAGUGGCGAAGGCGGCCUGCUGGGCUCUAACUGACGCUGAGGCACGAAAGCGUGGGUAGCAAACAGGAUUAGAUACCCUGGUAGUCCACGCUGUAAACGAUGAUUACUAGGUGUGGGUGGACUGACCCCAUCCGUGCCGGA
rnacentral:rRNA from 1 species